rnacentral:rRNA from 1 species
GACGAACGCUGGCGGCGUGCUUAACACAUGCAAGUCGAACGGAAAGGCCCUGCUUGCAGGGUACUCGAGUGGCGAACGGGUGAGUAACACGUGGGUGAUCUGCCCUGCACUUCGGGAUAAGCCUGGGAAACUGGGUCUAAUACCGGAUAGGAGCCAUUUUUAGUGUGAUGGUUGGAAAGUUUUUUCGGUGUAGGAUGAGCUCGCGGCCUAUCAGCUUGUUGGUGGGGUAAUGGCCUACCAAGGCGGCGACGGGUAGCCGGCCUGAGAGGGUGGACGGCCACAAUGGGACUGAGAUACGGCCCAGACUCCUACGGGGGGCAGCAGUGGGGAAUAUUGCACAAUGGGCGCAAGCCUGAUGCAGCGACGCCGCGUGGGGGAUGACGGCCUUCGGGUUGGAAACUCCUUUCGCUAGGGACGAAGCUUUUUGUGACGGUACCUAGAUAAGAAGCACCGGCUAACUACGUG